GCCUGCACUAACAGGAACCAGCCUGUGCUGGGGAGGUCUGAGGAGGACGUGGGGACGGGUCUACGCUGAUGAGCUGCAGCCUCUUCAGGCCCCGCGGGAAGUCUUCAGGGGGAAAUUGGGUCGCGUUCAUGCUGACAGGAGCCCGGUCUCCUCAGGCCGUGCGGUGAGGCUUUAGGAAAAUGUGGGCCGGCAUCCUGACAUGAGACCCUGGGCCACCUCAGGACCCACAGGGAGGCUUCAGGAAGAUGUGGGCCCUCAUCCACGCUGACAGGAGCCCUGAGCCACCUCAGGACCUGCGUGGAGGCUUCAGGAAAUUGUGGGCCCACAUCCACGCUGACAGGAGCCCCUGAGCCACCUCAGGACCUGCGAGGAGGCUCUAGGAAGAUGUGGCGCUGUGUCCAGUCUGGCAGGAGCUCCCGGGCCUCUCAGGACAUAAGUUGAGGCUUCUGGAAGCUGGGGGCGGCAUUCAUGGUUACAGGAGCCCCAGCCUCCUCAGAACCCUCGGUGACGCUUUGGGAGGACUUGGGGCCACAGGGACACAACAGGACGCUGACUUCCUCAGGACCCCCGGUGUAGACUUUGGGAAAUAUGGGGAUGUGUCCAUGUGGACAGAAGACCCCAGCCUUGUCAGAGCCUGUGGUGAAGUCUAAGAAAGAUGUGGAUGCCGAAUCCACACUUACAGGAUUCUCUGGCCUCCUCAGGAUGCACUGUGAAGGAUUGGAAUGAUUUGGGGCCACGUCCAUGCUAACAGGAGCCCCAAGCCUCCUCAGGUCUUAUGGUGAGGCUGAGGAAAAUGUGGGGCCACGUCAAGACUGAGAGGACCCCUUCCUCCUCAGGACCUGCACUUUGGCUUCUGGACACAUGGAGCUGCGUCUAGGCUGACAGGAACCCACAGCCUCCUCAGGACGCCCGGUGAGUUUUCAGGGGACAUGGGGCCAUGUCCAGGCUUACAGGAGCCCCCGGCCUCCUGAGAACCUGCUGUGAGGCUUCCAGAGAAUGUGAGGCAUACUCCACGGUGACAGGAGACCUGGCGUACUCAGGACCCGCUGACUAUGACUCUGGAACACGUGGGGCCACGUGCGCACUCACAGGAGCCCGGCUUCCUCAGGACUCCCUGGAGGACUCUGGACGCGCCUUUGGGGGCCACGUCCAUGUCAAAGGGACUCCUCAGAACCAUAGAGUUUUGGGCUCAAAGAUAACCUGACUCCACCAAGUCAGUGGCCUCCCCAGAGAAUCCAUAUCCAGUCUUCUGCCUAUCCAGAAUAGGCAUGGCAGGCUUCUCCUGAGGUGAGUAAAGGAGGGCAUUUGUGGCUCUAAAGACUCUCU
rnacentral:lncRNA from 12 species